rnacentral:rRNA from 1 species
CACGUAGGGUGCGAGCGUUGUCCGGAAUUAUUGGGCGUAAAGAGCUCGUAGGCGGUGUGUCGCGUCGGCCGUGAAAACCUGCAGCUUAACUGUGGGCUUGCGGUCGAUACGGGCAUCACUGGAGUUCGGCAGGGGAGACUGGAAUUCCUGGUGUAGCGGUGAAAUGCGCAGAUAUCAGGAGGAACACCGGUGGCGAAGGCGGGGACUCUGGGCCGAUACUGACGCUGGAGGAGCGAAAGCGUCGGGGAGCAAACAGG